UACGAAGGGGGCUAGCGUUGCUCGGAAUGACUGGGCGUAAAGGGCGCGUAGGCGGACGGCUUUGUCGGGCGUGAAAUUCCAGGGCUUAACCUUGGGGCUGCGUUCGAGACGGGUUGUCUAGAGUUUGGAAGAGGGUCGUGGAAUUCCCAGUGUAGAGGUGAAAUUCGUAGAUAUUCGGAAGAACACCAGUGGCGAAGGCGGCUCACUGGACUGGUAUUGACGCUGAGGUGCGAAAGCGUGGGGAGCGAACAGG
rnacentral:rRNA from 1 species